rnacentral:rRNA from 1 species
UACAGAGGUCUCAAGCGUUGUUCGGAUUCAUUGGGCGUACAGGGCGCGUAGGCGGCGGGGUCAGUCGGGUGUGAAAUCUUGGGGCUUAACCCCGAAACGGCACUCGAAACUGCCCGGCUGGAGGGCCGGAGAGGAGAUCGGAAUUCACGGUGUAGCAGUGAAAUGCGUAGAGAUCGUGAGGAAGACCCGUGGCGAAGGCGGAUCUCUGGACGGCUAACUGACGCUGAGGCGCGAAGGCCAGGGGAGCAAACGGG